AUGAAUUUGCUUUCCCACGAGGCUAUUGAGAUGAGAGAGGUGGUAACCAGGGACCUUGUCUGGACUGCUUCAGCCCUCCUCCAUCCCAGGACGUUCUCAUGUCUCCACAGGGUCAAUACUGCCGAGUAUCUCUUGAACUUGCUAACAAGAAGAGACCAGAGGCAGAUUCUUUACCAGCUGGAGCCACUGGGAAAUCAGUAUAAAGCAGAACGGGCCAUGUGCCACAGCAAAGGCUCUGAUGAAGAAAAACUUACAUCCACCUGGUGGAGAACGGUCUCACCAUGGCGGGUGUUCCACGUCCGGCGUUCUGUGUGAGACAUGGCGGCUCUUGGACCCCAGGCCUGAAGCAGGUCAGCCUGAGGUGAACGUCUGUCAGCUGUGGUCUUGGCCCUCAUCUACUUGUUGGGACAUGAGUUGGGCACUGUCCAUAGAUUAGGUAACAGGGGCAAAAAAAAGAAAUGAUCAAACUCCUCACUUAGUUUUUCAAACUAAGUUCACCCGGCAGGAUUGAGUGAGCAGAGUGGUAAAGAGAAAAACAGACAGAAAAGGCCUGUUCAUCAU
rnacentral:lncRNA from 1 species